UACAGAGGGUGCGCGCGUUAAUCGGAAUUACUGGGCGUAAAGCGUGCGUAGGCGGUCGUGUAAGUCGGGUGUGAAAGCCCCGGGCUCAACCUGGGAAUUGCAUUCGAGACUGCACGGCUGGAGUGCGGAAGAGGGAAGCGGAAUUUCCGGUGUAGCGGUGAAAUGCGUAGAUAUCGGAAGGAACAUCAGUGGCGAAAGCGGCUUCCUGGUCCAGCACUGACGAUCAGGCACGAAAGAGUGGGGAGCAAACAGG
rnacentral:rRNA from 1 species